AAAUUUAGGUUAAACUAAACCAAGGGCCUUCAAAGCCUUAAAUAGGGUCAACAAGCUCUAGUUUCUG
rnacentral:tRNA from 2 species